rnacentral:rRNA from 1 species
CCCGCGACAAGGCGUGGAGCAUGUGGUUUAAUUCGAAGCAACGCGAAGAACCUUACCAGGUCUUGACAUCCCGAUGCUAUUUCUAGAGAUAGAAAGUUACUUCGGUACAUCGGUGACAGGUGGUGCAUGGUUGUCGUCAGCUCGUGUCGUGAGAUGUUGGGUUAAGUCCCGCAACGAGCGCAACCCUUACGGUUAGUUGCCAGCGGGUUAUGCCGGGCACUCUAGCUGAACUGCCGUUGACAAAACGGAGAAGGUGGGAUGACGUCAAAUCAUCAUGCCCUUUAUGUCCUGGGCUACACACGUGCUACAAUGGCCUGUACAGAGGGAAGCGAAAGGGUGACCUGGAGCGAAUCCCAAAAAGCAGGUCUCAGUUCGGAUUGCAGGCUGCAACCCGCCUGCAUGAAGUCGGAAUCGCUAGUAAUCGCAGGUCAGCAUACUGUGGUGAAUACGUUCCCGGGCCUU